rnacentral:rRNA from 1 species
UACGGAGGGGGCUAGCGUUGUUCGGAAUCACUGGGCGUAAAGCGCACGUAGGCGGCUUUGUAAGUUAGAGGUGAAAGCCCGGGGCUCAACUCCGGAAUUGCCUUUAAGACUGCAUCGCUAGAAUUGUGGAGAGGUAAGUGGAAUUCCGAGUGUAGAGGUGAAAUUCGUAGAUAUUCGGAAGAACACCAGUGGCGAAGGCGACUUACUGGACACAUAUUGACGCUGAGGUGCGAAAGCGUGGGGAGCAAACAGGG